rnacentral:rRNA from 1 species
GAUGAACGCUGGCGGCGUGCCUAAUACAUGCAAGUCGAGCGAACGGACGAGAAGCUUGCUUCUCUGAUGUUAGCGGCGGACGGGUGAGUAACACGUGGAUAACCUACCUAUAAGACUGGGAUAACUUCGGGAAACCGGAGCUAAUACCGGAUAAUAUUUUGAACCGCAUGGUUCAAAAGUGAAAGACGGUCUUGCUGUCACUUAUAGAUGGAUCCGCGCUGCAUUAGCUAGUUGGUAAAGUAACGGCUUACCAAGGCAACGAUGCAUAGCCGACCUGAGAGGGUGAUCGGCCACACUGGAACUGAGACACGGUCCAGACUCCUACGGGAGGCAGCAGUAGGGAAUCUUCCGCAAAGGGCGAAAGCCUGACGGAGCAACGCCGCGUGAGUGAUGAAGGUCUUCGGAUCGUAAAACUCUGUUAUUAGGGAAGAACAUAUGUGUAAGUAACUGUGCACAUCUUGACGGUACCUAAUCAGAAAGCCACGGCUAACUACGUG